rnacentral:rRNA from 1 species
AACGAACGCUGGCGGCGCGCCUAAUACAUGCAAGUCGAGCGAGAAGACGUAGCAAUACGUUUGUAAAGCGGCGAACGGGUGAGGAAUACAUGGGUAACCUACCCUCGAGUGGGGAAUAACUAGCCGAAAGGUUAGCUAAUACCGCGUACGCUCCUCGGACUUCGGUUCAGGGAGGAAAGCGAUACCGUGGGUAUCGCGCUCUUGGAUGGGCUCAUGUCCUAUCAGCUUGUUGGUGAGGUAACGGCUCACCAAGGCUUCGACGGGUAGCUGGUCUGAGAGGACGAUCAGCCACACUGGCACUGCGACACGGGCCAGACUCCUACGGGAGGCAGCAGUAAGGAGUAUUGCGCAAUGGGCGAAAGCCUGACGCAGCGACGCCGCGUGGGGGAUGAAGGUCUUCGGAUUGUAAACCCCUUUCGGGAGGGAAGAUGGAACGAGCAAUCGUUCGGACGGUACCUCCAGAAGCAGCCACGGCUAACUUCGUGCCAGCCGCCGCAGUAAU